UCCGGGGAGGGGAGAAAGACGUUACUAGACCCGCCUCUGUCCUGCUUCUGUGGCAGGACUUCUAGCAGCCCUGUGGCUCUGCGCCUGAGGUUGCAGUGGAUCCAGUGCCUGCGGUAGCUCCAUGCAUCCAGGAACACAGUGGAUGUGGUGGGGUGUGUGACUUUGAACAGUUGGGCAGCAGUGUGCACAGAGAUGGCUUAAAGAAUCUUGUGGGACAUGGACUCACAGCUACCUGGGCCCAGGACAGGAUCAUCUACCCUGCUGAGGCAAUCCCUCACUGGUGUCAGAACCCUGUUCUUCAGGAUUCCAAUGCAGACUGAAGACCAGCAUUCCCUAGGAAUCCUACAGGACUCCAGCACUGGAUCGUGACUGCUGGGUUACUGAGCACCUACAGGACUCUUGGAGACAGUCACUGUUGAGAACACCUGGACCACGGCCUGUAAGCCAUCCUAAUACCCUUACCACAUAUAUAUCUAUGUAUUUAUUCUAGCAACUGUUCCUUUAGAGGCCCCUAACACAUGACACCCAAGUAUUCAGGACCAUGUGGAAAAAGGAGUGCAUGUUUAAAUCCAGGGGGAGCAACUAGACAGCCCAUUUCACACAAGGGGCAGAGGGCAUGGUUUAGCCAAGGAGCACAUGCCUGGCACAGACAGGCCCUGGGUUCAUAUGCCAGGCCUCAGGGUAUGGGUGACCCUUAGAUCAACACUGGGUCUUUUGAAUGCUACUUUAAUAACCUUGUAGACCAUGAAAUAUGACGAUAAAUUCUAGAAACAUGAACAGACAUGAGACUUUUAUACAAAAAUUUGUUGCUUACAAAACAUACGGAAAAGAAAGCUAAGGAAAAAAAAAAAAGACACGGAAGGCCUCGUUCUUGCUAACUUUUGUCUACAUUAAAAAAAAUCUGAAAACUAA